GACGAACGCUGGCGGCGUGCUUAACACAUGCAAGUCGAACGCUGAAGCUCAGCUUUUGUUGGGUGGAUGAGUGGCGAACGGGUGAGUAACACGUGAGUAACCUGCCCCCUUCUUUGGGAUAACGCCCGGAAACGGGUGCUAAUACUGGAUAUUCACUGGUCUUCGCAUGGGGGUUGGUGGAAAGGGCUUUUCUGGUGGGGGAUGGGCUCGCGGCCUAUCAGCUUGUUGGUGGGGUGAUGGCCUACCAAGGCUUUGACGGGUAGGCGGCCUGGGAGGGUGACUGGGCACAUUGCGGCUGAGAUACGGACCAGACUCCUACGGGGGGCAGCAGUGGGGAAAAUUGCGCGGAGGGCGCAAGACUGGUGCGGCGACGCCGCGUGAGAGGUGGAGGCCUGCGGGUUGUGAACCUCUUUGGCUAAUGGUCAAGCCGCAACAAUGGUUGUGGUGAGGGUAGUGGGUAAAGAAGCGCCGGCUAACUACGUG
rnacentral:rRNA from 1 species